UGGGGACCAUAGCAAGUUGGAACCACCUGAUCCCAUCCCGAACUCAGAAGUGAAACGACUUAGCGCCGAUGGUAGUGUGGCAGGUGCCAUGUGAGAGUAGG
rnacentral:rRNA from 1 species